rnacentral:rRNA from 1 species
AAUCAACGCUGGCGGCGUGCCUAACACAUGCAAGUCGCACGAGAAAGGGGAGCAAUCCCUGAGUAAAGUGGCGCACGGGUGAGUAACACGUGAAUCAUCUACCUCCGAGUGGGGAAUAACUGAGAGAAAUCUUAGCUAAUACCGCAUAACACUUACGAGUCAAAGCAGCAAUGCGCUUGGAGAGGAGUUCGCGGCCGAUUAGUUAGUUGGCGGGGUAAUGGCCCACCAGACGAUGAUCGGUAUCCGGCCUGAGAGGGCGCACGGACACACUGGAACUGAAACACGGUCCAGACUCCUACGGGAGGCAGCAGUGGGGGAAUUUUGCGCAAUGGGGGAAACCCUGACGCAGCAACGCCGCGUGGAGGAUGAAGUAUCUUGGUACGUAAACUCCUUUUCGAUUGGGGAANUAAUGACGGUACCAAUAGAAGAAGCCCCGGCUAACUUCGUGCCAGCCGCCGCGGU